rnacentral:rRNA from 1 species
AUUGAACGCUGGCGGCGUGCCUAACACAUGCAAGUCGAGCGGUAACAGGUGUAGCAAUACAUGCUGACGAGCGGCGAACGGGUGAGUAAUGCUUUGGAAUCUUCCCAGUAGUGGGGAAUAACCAGUCGAAAGAUUGGCUAAUACCGCAUACGUCUGUAAAGGGAAAGCGGGGGCUCGUAAGACCUCGCGCUAUUGGAUGAGCCAAAGUCGGAUUAGCUAGUUGGNGGGGUAAUGGCCUACCAAGGCGACAAUCCGUAGCUGGUCUGAGAGGACGACCAGCCACACCGGAACUGAGACACGGUCCGGACUCCUACGGGAGGCAGCAGUGGGGAAUAUUGGACAAUGGGGGAAACCUGAUCCAGCGACGCCGCGUGUGUGAAGAAGGCCUGCGGGUUGUAAAGC